GGCGGACGGGUGAGUAACGCGUGGGUAACCUGCCUCACACUGGGGGAUAACAGUUAGAAAUAGCUGCUAAUACCGCAUAAGCGCACGGUUCCGCAUGGAACAGUGUGAAAAACUCCGGUGGUGUGAGAUGGACCCGCGUCUGAUUAGCCAGUUGGCAGGGUAACGGCCCACCAAAGCGACGAUCAGUAGCCGGCCUGAGAGGGUGAACGGCCACAUUGGGACUGAGACACGGCCCAAACUCCUACGGAGGCAGCAUG
rnacentral:rRNA from 1 species